GAUGAACGCUGGCGGCGUGCCUAAUACAUGCAAGUCGAACGCUUCACUUCGGUGAAGAGUGGCGAACGGGUGAGUAAUACAUAAGUAACCUGGCAUCUACAGGGGGAUAACUGAUGGAAACGUCAGCUAAGACCGCAUAGGUGUAGAGAUCGCAUGAACUCUAUAUGAAAAGUGCUACGGGACUGGUAGAUGAUGGACUUAUGGCGCAUUAGCUUGUUGGUAGGGUAACGGCCUACCAAGGCGACGAUGCGUAGCCGACCUGAGAGGGUGACCGGCCACACUGGGACUGAGACACGGCCCAGACUCCUACGGGAGGCAGCAGUAGGGAAUUUUCGGCAAUGGGGGAAACCCUGACCGAGCAACGCCGCGUGAAGGAAGAAGUAAUUCGUUAUGUAAACUUCUGUCAUAGAGGAAGAACGGUGGAUAUAGGGA
rnacentral:rRNA from 1 species